rnacentral:ribozyme from 17 species
UUUUUUUUUUUUUUUUUUUUUUUUUUUUUUUUUUUUUUUUUAAAACAAAAAUUUCACAAUUAUUUUAGAAAGGAAGCUAU